AAUGAACGUUGGCGGCAUGGAUUAGGCAUGCAAGUCGAGCGAGAACCGUAGCAAUACGGGGACAGCGGCGAAAGGGAGAGUAACGCGUGGAUAUCUGCCUCCAGGUCUGGGAUAGCUGCGGGAAACUGCAGGUAAUACCGGAUAAUGUCUAAGGACCAAAGGUGUGAUUCCUCCAGGAGAUGAGUCCGCGUCCUAUUAGCUAGUUGGUAAGGUAAUGGCUACCAAGGCGAUGAUGGGUAGCAGGUGUGAGAUCACGACCUGCCUCACUGGGACUGAGACACUGCCCAGACACCUACGGGUGGCUGCAGUCGAGAAUCUUCGGCAAUGGGCGCAAGCCUGACCGAGCGACGCCGCGUGGGUGAAGAAGGCCUGCGGGUUGUAAAGCCCUUUCGGUUGGGAAGAAAAGCCGGAUGCUAAUACCAUUUCGGUCUUGACGUUAACUAACAAAAGAAGCACCGGCUAACUCCGUGCC
rnacentral:rRNA from 1 species